rnacentral:pre_miRNA from 1 species
UUAAUACUCCUUCCGUUUCGAAUUAUUUGUCGCAAGUACGGAUGUAUCUAGAUGUAUUUUAGUUCUAGAUACAUCCAUUUCUGUGACGAGUAAUUUGGAACGGAGGGAGUACAUC